AUGGUACUCCCUCCGUCCUAAAAUUUUUGUUUUAGAUUUGUCUAGAUACGGAUGUAUUUAAUACUAAAACAUGACUUGAUAUAUCCGUAUAUAAACAAAAGACAAGAAUUUGGGAUGGAGGGAGUACGUU
rfam:Triticum aestivum genome assembly, contig: Triticum_aestivum_CS42_TGACv1_scaffold_576748_7BL